rnacentral:rRNA from 1 species
UGGGGAAUAUUGCACAAUGGAGGGAACUCUGAUGCAGCGACGCCGCGUGAGUGAUGAAGGAAUUCGUUUCGUAAAACUCUGUUCUAUGGGAAGAAAAGGACUGUACCAUAGGAGAAAGCUCCGGCUAAAUACGUGCCAGCAGCCGCGGUAAUACGUAUGGAGCGAGCGUUGUCCGGAAUUAUUGGGCGUAAAGGGUGCGCAGGCGGCUUUACAAGUUGGAUGUGAAAUAUUGUGGCUCAACCACAAACGUGCAUCCAAAACUGCAAAGCUUGAGUUAUGGAGAGGUAAGUGGAAUUCCUGGUGUAGCGGUGGAAUGCGUAGAUAUCAGGAGGAAUACCGGUGGCGAAGGCGACUUACUGGACUUAAACUGACGCUCAGGCACGAAAGCGUGGGGAGCAAACAGG